rfam:Gossypium raimondii Chr07_contig_1093, whole genome shotgun sequence.
UAUUAAAAAUUUCAUCCAGUUUUACUAUUAAAAAUGGUGUGACUAAUGGAAUAACCAAACAGUUACAUGUGAUGUGCUACGUGUACCUUACACUAACGUAUAGGAAUCAAUUUUUAAUAGUAGAAAUAGAUGAAAUUUUUAACA